rnacentral:rRNA from 1 species
UACAGAGGUGGCAAGCGUUGUUCGGAAUUACUGGGCGUAAAGCGCACGUAGGCGGACUAUUAAGUCAGGGGUGAAAUCCCGGAGCUCAACUUCAGAAUUGCCUUCGAUACUGGCUUUCUAGAGGCUGGAAGAGGUUAGUGGAAUUCCCAGUGUAGAGGUGAAAUUCGUAGAUAUUGGGAAGAACACCAGUGGCGAAGGCGGCUAACUGGUCCAGAUCUGACGCUGAGGUGCGAAAGCGUGGGGAGCAAACAGG